rnacentral:rRNA from 1 species
CCUACGGGAGGCUGCAGUGGGGAAUAUUGCACAAUGGAGGAAACUCUGAUGCAGCGACGCCGCGUGGAGGAAGAAGGUUUUCGGAUCGUAAACUCCUGUUGUCGGGGACGAUAAUGACGGUACCCGACAAGAAAGUGACGGCUAACUACGUGCCAGCAGCCGCGGUAAAACGUAGGUCACAAGCGUUGUCCGGAAUUACUGGGUGUAAAGGGAGCGCAGGCGGGGAGAUAAGUUGGGAGUGAAAACUAUGGGCUCAACCCAUAAAUUGCUUUCAAAACUAUCUUUCUUGAGUAGUGCAGAGGUAGGCGGAAUUCCCGGUGUAGCGGUGGAAUGCGUAGAUAUCGGGAGGAACACCAGUGGCGAAGGCGACUUUCUGGACGAAAACUGACGCUGAGGCGCGAAAGCCAGGGGAGCGAACGGGAUUAGAUACCCCUGUA